GAUGAAGAACACGGCGAAAUGCGAUACGUAAUGUGAAUUGCAAAUUCAGUGAAUCAUCGAGUCUUUGAACGCACAUUGCGCCCCCUGGUAUUCCGGGGGGCAUGCCUGUCCGAGCGUCAUUGCUGCCCUCAAGCACGGCUUGUGUGUUGGCCCCGUCCUCCGAUCCCGGGGGACGGGCCCGAAAGGCAGCGGCGGCACCGCGUCCGGUCCUCGAGCGUAUGGGGCUUUGUCACCCGCUCUGUAGGCCCGGCCGGCGCUUGCCGAUCAACCCAAAUUUUUAUCCAGGUUGACCUCGGAUCAGGUAGGGAUACCCGCUGAACUUAAGCAUAUCAAUAAGCGGAGGA
rnacentral:misc_RNA from 1 species